GGCAGCAGUGGGGAAUUUUCCGCAAUGGGCGAAAGCCUGACGGAGCAAUACCGCGUGAGGGAGGAAGGCUCUUGGGUUGUAAACCUCUUUUCUCAGGGAAGAAKCUCUGACGGUACCUGAGGAAUCAGCAUCGGCUAACUCCGUGCCAGCAGCCGCGGUAWUACGGAGGAUGCAAGCGUUAUCCGGAAUGAUUGGGCGUAAAGCGUCCGCAGGKGGCGAUUCAAGUCUGCUGUCAAAGGUCGGGGCUCAACCCYGRACAGGCGGUGGAAACUGAACAGCUAGAGUGCGGUAGGGGYAGAGGGAAUUCCCGGUGUAGCGGUGAAAUGCGUAGAGAUCGGGAAGAACACCRGUGGCGAAAGCGCUCURCURGGCCUGCACUGACACUCAGGGACGAAAGCUAGGGGAGCGAAUGGGAUUAGAUACCCCAGUAGUCCUAGCCGUAAACGAUGGAUACUAGGCGUGGCWUGUAUCGACCCGAGCCGUGCCGGAGCUAACGCGUUAAGUAUCCCGCCUGGGGAGUACGCGCGCAAGCGUGAAACUCAAAKGAAUUGACGGAA
rnacentral:rRNA from 1 species